GCGCCUCCCCGCCUCCUCCGCCGUGCCGUCCUCCCGGCACCGUGGCCUGCCCCCUCUCUGCCGCGCCCUCCUCCCCCGCACCGUCCAAGUCCUCCGUGCGCGGUUCGCCCACGCCGAGGCCCAGGCCGCUGCGCUCCGUGCCCGCGCCGGCCGGCCGGCUCGAGCGCGCGCCGGAGGAGAGGAGGUCGGCUGGAGGGGAGCGACCAACGUCGUGGUGGUCUCACCGGCGAGCGACGGGAGGAGGGCGGAGAUGAUGCGUAGGAGGGCGAGGAGGCUGUGUGCAGGAGGCUUCCCGACGGAUUGGGGAGACGGCGCGAAGCAUCUUCGACGGCAUGGGCCGGGGCGCCGUGCUUCCUCAGAUUCGCGUUUUGAGUGUGUGUCCAGUUUGUCGCUUCCCUCGACGUCGACGGCUCCAUGAUCAGUCGUGUUCUCUUCCUACUAAGCCAUGAUGAGAUAUCACCGAGUUCGCCGGCGGAAGAAGAACAUCUCUCGAGCCGUCCAAUGUUUCCUGCGGCGGCUACACCAGAGGUUCAGUUCACAAGAGCAACCAAAAAGGUUCCAGAUUCAUCUCAUGGUGAGGAGUGAGCAUGUGAAUUAAUGUGUGCAUGAAGCUAGACACAGUUCUUAUCAAGUGGGUCUGAAGGAGUUGGGCAGUGGGUGGUUCCCAUCACACUCUGCUCUUGUUCAUACUUGGUUCAGCGAAAGUUCUUUUUCCGUGGAAAACCGGAGGAUUUCAGUUUGUUAGUGCUCGUAGAAUGUCAAAAGAAAGAUGGCAUAAGGAGGUUUAACCAAGAUGUCCUUUUGUUGGUUUUCCUGUGUAAUUAGCACUUACAAAUAUGGAGUACAGGUAGGAGAAUGCUACGGUUCUGUCUGCAUCUGAUGGGUGACGUGGCUCAGCCCAGCGGCUCUACAGAACCAUCAGAUAACCUGGGACGAUCAUGCCUCUUUGCUAGAGAAGAUUGUAGCUUAUGAAGUUUGUGUCUGACUCGCCAUUAGAUCGUUCAAUAUGCUAUCUUGUGGUUUAAUUGAUGAUUUCUUUUUCUUAGUUUUCAGGCUGUGUUUACAAUCAGAAAUCUGAUAGACUGGAGAGAAGGCUAGGUGUUUGCCACAUUGUUUCGGCUACUUCCAUCUGGCGAUUCCAGAUUACUAAUACAGUGACAAUCCUUCAGAUUUAGGGGAUACAAUGUCGGAUUACAUUAUGUGGAUGUAUUGAAGGCAAAAAUUCUUGUGGUGGAGGUAUUACGUGCUACCACUUUAUCAGUACAUAACCAACUUCCAUUCUUUAUAAAUAGCAACAAGCAGUUUUCAUCUCCAAGCAUAUUCAAAAGCGAAAACAAUUCUUUGUAUUGUUUAUCAAAACUGUAUGAUGAGAUAGUUCAGAGUGUUGGGCUAAAAUUGGAGAACACAAGUUUAUCAGAAACAAUAAGAAUUUGUCAUCAAGGAUCUAAGAGCUCUGAAAAUAUGUUGUUCUCCUCUUUUGAUUCUCCUUUCAGUACAUAAGAUUGCAGACUCUGAUUUAUUAGUAUAAGGAUGAAAUUAACUUUAAAUACCAUAAUGCACCUCUGUUUGGUUGGAUUCAAAGUGCAAUAAUGUACAGAACAUUAACUAUUACUCCCUCCUUGCGGAAAUAAGUGAAGCUGUUUUAAUUCAAAAUCUAAAACAAUGUCACUUAUUUCCGGAUGGAGGGAGUAUAUGAUUUCUUUAUCUGGUUGCUGCAUCCCCUUUAUCCAUCAAAAUCGGUGUUCAACAAUGCUCAUUUAUGUUGGUUGGAAAGAGGAUCACAACAGAGGCACAAUAAACUGCCGGCAUAUUAACAUCAUAUUGGCAUAGUUGCAGUGUGAAAAUCUCUCGAGCUAGAUCUUAAGUAGGUUGUGCCUCUUUUGUUGCCCGGUGCAACGCACGGGCAUUUGCACUAGUUUAAUAAUAUAGCACGGAUUGGGU